rnacentral:misc_RNA from 1 species
UCCUUGACUUGCUCUGCAUGGUAGGCUCCCUGCACGUAUGUGCGGCCAACUAUCAUGGGGCUUGUCUUUUCAUUAACCCUUUGAUAAGCAUUACUGCUAUCUUAGGAUGUUUUCUUCUGGUGGCCUGUUUUGUUCUACCCAUGUUGGUAGCUUGAUUGACUUGUUUUGCAUCUCUAGCUUGCUUUGUUGAUGUUAUUCAUCAAUGGGCAGCCGAGUUGUUAGCAAAUUCCAUGUGUUGCCCAUGCUCUUGUGCCUUGGUGUUGCAUUUGGAUGUUUGCUGGUUCUCACGGAUAUUGUGCCAAUUGUGGGUUCUAUGGGCUUCAUGCUUGUAAACUCUGUGUGGUUGCCCUUGCACUGAUCAUUGCUUGCUAAGGUGUCUCGGACANGYUAUKGUCGUUUCCACGCCAUGCAUGGAGGGCCUCUUUUAAAUGCGCAAUGUGAUUAGUGCUUGUGGCGUGCCUSWWNGAUCAAUUGACU